GCAGCUUGCAAUUAACAGGCUUCCUUUUCUCUGAGUAUGUGCACACAUCAGUACCAGCUCAGAGUUUGGCCCAGUUGGGUGACAUGGAACAGGCUCUAGAUAAGUUCUCCUGAGGAAAGUGUUGGCCAGGGGGAUCAACCACUUCAUGUCUCCUAUAUUUCAUCAUGGAACCAAGCAAAAGGAAAGCAGCGAGCCAGCCGACAGCUUUGUUUCCAUUUUCCCUUUUAUUCUUUUUCAUUUCUUGUCCCUUCCUUCCUUUCCCCUCCC
rnacentral:lncRNA from 1 species